GCAAGUCGAGCGCGCCCUUCGGGGUGAGCGGCGGACGGGUGAGUAACGCGUGGGAAUCUGCCCUCAGGAGGGGGAUAACGGCUGGAAACGGCCGCUAAUACCCCAUAUGCCGAGAGGUGAAAUGAAUUUCGCCUGAGGAUGAGCCCGCGUCUGAUUAGCUAGUUGGUGGGGUAAGGGCCUACCAAGGCAUCGAUCAGUAGCUGGUCUGAGAGGAUGAUC
rnacentral:rRNA from 1 species